rnacentral:tRNA from 1 species
GCGGCAGUAGCUCAAUUGGUAGAGCAUCGCGUUGCCAUCGCGAAGGUUGCGAGUUCGAGCCUCGUCUGCCGCUCCA